AUACGUAGGUGACAAGCGUUAUCCGGAUUUACUGGGCGUAAAGGGCGUGUAGGCGGUCUUGCAAGUCAGAAGUGAAAUUCCUGAGCUCAACUCGGGCGCUGCUUCUGAAACUGCAGGACUUGAGUGCUGGAGGGGAUAGCGGAAUUCCUAGUGGAGCGGUAAAAUGCGCAGAUAUUAGGAAGAACACCGGUGGCGAAGGCGGCUAUCUGGACAGUAACUGACGCUGAGGCGCGAAAGCGUGGGGACCAAACGGGAUUGAAUACCCUGGUAGUCCACGCCGUAAACGAUGGGUACUAGGUGUAGGAGGUAUCGACCCCUUCUGUGCCGUCGUUAACACAAUAAGUACCCCGCCUGGGGAGUACGGUCGCAAGACUAAAACUCAAAUGAAUUGACGGGG
rnacentral:rRNA from 1 species